GCUUGGCUCCGCGCUUGGCGUCGGCCGGACUCAUCCUCCGCGAGGCCGGGCCGUAAGGUGAGCGAAGAGAAGGGGCGAGGACGGCCGGAGGGAAGGAAGAAGGGAGCUGCAGCUGCAGCAGGAGGAGGCUGAGGAGCUGUGGUUGCUGAGGAGGCAAAGUCUACACGCCGGCAGAGACAGUUUUCAGGUUCUGCCUCCAUUGGGAUUGCUCCCUCAAGAGGACUAAGUGAGCCUGGGCCAGUGGUCUGGGCAGCAUUGCCGCUAUACCUAGGGCUUUUGGCCUACCCAGACCCAGCUCUUGGUCAGCCAUUGCGUCAGCCGUCAGUGUCCAUAGUGGUCAGGAUGUCCCGUUCCUUCUCCUCGAAGAGGCUUACCCUCAGGGAUGUCUGCACAGAUCAGGAUGAAGCAGGGGAACUUGCAGAGGGCUGCUGCUCUUUUCAAGGUUCUUGGGAGGAAGGUCUAGCCCCGAGCCACCUUGGUCGUAGAGAUGCAGUGACCAAGGCAGGGCAAUGGUUCAGCCUACUAGCUCCCUACUGCUCUGUCUCUCCUACCAGAUAGAUGGCAAGGAUGGAUUUAUAUCUUAACAGAAAUAAAAAAGAUGGAACAACUCUCCUGUAAGAAUUCCACUGAGCAAUUAAGACAGACAAACAGUACAUGGGGAGGAUUCUGUUGUGUUUGAUUGGUUUUAAGAGGAAAGAAAAAGCAGAAUGAAGGAUUGUCAUAGAGAAGAAAUGGGGAAGAGCCUGCUCUUUCUCAUAGCUAGGAUACAGGAGAAGAAGAGAUACAAAAAGUAUGAAAAAGUGGGGAAAGCCUCUGGUCUGACCCAGAAAAAGAAGCGUCAAGCACACACACACACACACAUCCAGAGCUUUGUGCAGAAGUACAUUAAACUCAAGCAGGAAACAGGUGGGGACAAGAAAAAGAGAGAAGGAUUAAAGAAGAAGCUAAAGCUGAAGGGGAGCAGGGGCCCUAUUCUAGGGCAAAAGGAAUUCUAAUGCUUGAGGCUGCAGGAGAACAGAGCUAUUCCUGGGUAAAAACCAGAGCAUAGACCAAGUGAGCGACGACUGAUGACAGACCACCCCACCUUGGAAGCACCCAAAACUUAUGGACCACAAGACUACUUCUGAAAAUAGUAGCACAAAAUACCCUGCAGUUUGGGAUGCUGUCUCCCCCACCUACAGGUGAGGAGAACCCAACUUUACCAUAAAAUUUAAAGUCGAGAAAUAGACUGCAAAAAUAAAUUAACCACAAAAGAACUUGAUCAUAAAAAGCUACUCUGAUAACAGGGAAGAUCAAGGUAUAAACUCAAGAAGUCAGCAGUGUGAAAAUAGAUACAAGCAAAGUCUCAAAGAAAAAUGCAAACUAGACACAGCCCCACACCCCCCAAAAGAGAAAGAUAAAAGGAGAAGAAAAUUGGGGGUGGGGGGAAGUGACACAGGAAAACUAAGAAAAGAAAAUUAACAAUUUGGUAAGAGGUACAAAAAAUAUUGAAAGAAGAAUAUCUUAAAAACCAGAAUCUACCAAAUAGUAAAAAAAAAAAGGCAUCAGAAUUAAUUGAAGAAAAAACUACUUAAAACACAGUAUUGAAAAAAAGGAUAUACAAAAGCUCACUGAAGAAAAUAAUUUCUUAAAAAUUAGAAUUGAGCAAAUGGAAGCUGAUUCUAUGAUAUUAAUAAAAAAUUUGGAAUAUCUCAGGGGAAAAAACAACUGAUCCGGAAAAAAAAUCUGAGGAGAUAUAAUCUUAGAAUUUUGGGAUAAACUGAAAUGAAAGCCAUGACCAAAAAUAAGAGCCUAAAUAUCAUUUCAAAAUUUUUUCAAGGACAACUAUCCUGAAAUCUUAGAGCCAAAAGGGUAAAAUAGAAAUUGAAAGAAUCUACCCAUCACCUCUUAAAGUAGAUCCUGAAAUGAAAAUUCCCAGGGAUAUUAAACCAAAUUCCAGAACUCCCAGGUCAAGGAAAAAUUUGGUAAGCAGCCAGAAAGAAACUAAUUCAAUAUUCUGAAGCCAUAGCCAAGAUCGCACAAGAUUUAGCAGCUGCCAUAUAUAAUAAAAGAAGAGAGCUUGGAAUAUGAUAUUCUGGAAGACAAAGGAGCUAGGAUUACAAUCAAGAGUGACUUAUCCAGAAAAAUUGAGUACAACUUUUUUGGGGGGGAAAGGGGACUUAAAUGGCUAUUCAAUGAAAUAGGGACAUUUCAAGGCACGAAAAGGUAAGCAUGACAGAAAUCAUAAGGGACUGAAUAUGGUUAAACUGUUUAUAUUCCUAUAUGGAAAGAUGACACAUGUAACUCCUAAGAAUUUUAUCUUUAUUAGGACAUCUAGAAGGAUUCUACAUAGACGAGCCACAAGUAUGAUUAUUUUUGUUGGAAUGAUAUGGGAAAAAAAGUGAGAGAAAGAAAGAUGCACCGACUUUCUAUAAGAAUACUAUCCACCUCUCUGGGGGAAGCUGAGUAGCUCAGUGGAUUGAGAGCCAGGCCUAGAGACAGGAGGUCCUAGGUUCAAAUCUGGCCUCAAACACUUCCCAGCUGUGUGACCCUGGGCAAGUCAUUUGACCCCCAUUGCCUAUCCCUUACCACUCUUCUGCCUUGGAGCCAUUGACUCCAAGAUGGAAGGUAAGGGUUAAAAAAAAUAAAAAAGAAUACUAUGCACCUCAAGAGAAAGAAUCACUGGAGUCUGAAUGCAGAUCAAUUGUACUAUUCUUUGCUUUAUUUUAUUUGUGUUUUAAUUUUAUAUAGUAUCCUCUCACAAGAGUGACCAAUAUGGAGAUCAGAUUGCUUUACCAUUUCAGGAAUGGAACAACUAGGGAGGGAGGGAGACAAUUUGGAUCUUAUAAUUUUGGAGAAUUUAUGUUCUUAUGCUAUGGAGAACUUAUGCUAGAAACCUUCCUAAAAAUAUAAAAGGUAAAGCAAGAAUUUCCAUUAUCAUCACUAUUAUUCAAUAUUGUAUUAGAAAUAUUAUAUCAGUAAGAUUUUUUUAAAUUAAAAUAAUAAGAAUAGGCAACAAGGAAUCAAAACUAUCACACCAUGCAGACAAUAUGAUGGUAAGUAGUGAAUGCUGGAGGGGAUGUGGCAAAGUUGGGAUAUUAAUUCAUUGCUGGUGGAGUUGUGAAUUGAUCCAACCAUUCUGCAGCGCAAUUUGGAACUAUGCCCAAAGGGUGCUAAAAGACUGUCUGCCCUUUGAUCCAGCCAUAGCACUGCUGGGCUUGUACCCCAAAGAGAUAAUAAGGAAAAAGACUUGUACAAGAAUAUUCAUAGCUGUGCAUUUCUGGUGGCAAAAAAUUGGAAAAUGAGGGGAUGCCCUUCAAUUGGGGAAUGGCUGAACUAAUUGUGGUAUAUGUUGGUGAUGGAAUACUAUUGUGCUCAAAGGAAUAAUAAAGUGGAGGAAUUCCAUGUAGACUGGAACAACCUCCAGGAAUUGAUGCAGAGAGAGAGGAGAAGAAUCAGGAAAACAUUGUACACAGAGACUGAUACACUGUGGUACAAUUGAAUGUAAUGGGCUUCUCCAUUAGUGGCAAUACAGUGAUCCUGAACAACCCAGAGGGAUCUAUGAGAAAGAACACUAUCCACAUUCAGAGGAAAAAUGUGAGAGUAGAAACGCAGAAGAAAAACAACUGCUUGAUUACAUGGGUCAAGGGGAUAUGAUUGGGGAUGUAGACUCUGAGUGAACUAGUGCAAACAUCAACAACAUGGAAAUAGGUUUUGGUCAAGGACAUAUGUAAUACCCAGUGGAAUUGUGCAUCAGCUACAGGAAGGUUGGGGGGUGAGAAGGGAGGGAAGGAAUAUGAUUCUUGUAACCAAGGAAAAAAUGUUCUAAAUUGACUAAAUUAAUUAAUUAAAAAAGAAAUAGAGUAAUGUAUCAGUGGAAUAGUUUAAGUACAGGAUACACAGUAGUAAAUGACCAUGGUAAUCUAGUGUUUGAUAAAUACAUAGAUGUAAGCUUCAGAGGCAAAACCUCACUAUUUGACAAAAAUUGCUGGGAAAACCAGAAAACAGUUUGACAAAAACUAGGCAUAGACCAACAUCUCACACCAAAUACCAAGAUAAAGUCAAAAUGGGGCAUGAUUUAGAUAUAAAGUAUGAGAUAUCAUGAGCAAAUUAGGGAGCAAGGAAAUUUUUACUUAUAACAAACCUCAAUGGUUAAGGGAAGAGUUUAUAAACAAACAAGACAGAGAUUAUAGAAAGUAAAAUGGAUAGUUUUAAUUACAUGAAAUUUUUAAAAGUUCUUCCAAAAAAAAUAUGUUAGAGUCAAAAUUAGAAAACAGGAAGGGAGUGGGGCAGAACUUUAUAGCAAGUUUCUCUGAAAAAGACCGCAUUUCUCAAAUAUUUAGGGAAUGAGUCAAAUUUAUCCAAAUAAGAGUUAUUCCCACUUGAUAAAUGGUAGAAGAAAAGAAUAGUCAGUUUUUAGAAGAAAUCAAAGUUAUCUAUACUCACAGGAAAAAUUAUUUAAAUCACAAUUGACUAAAGAAAUACUAAUUAAAACAUCUGUGAUACCACAUCAAAUUUAUCAGACUGAUUAACAUGCAAAAAAGGAAAGUGAACAAAUACUGGAGGGGAUGUGGGAAAAUAAGGGCAUUGAUCAACAUUAGUGGAGCUUUAAACUGCUCCAACAAUUAUAGAGAACAAUUUGAAACUGACCAAAGGGCUAUAAAACUGCAUGUCCAUGGACCUAACAAUACCACUGCUAAACCUAUAUCUGAAAGAGAUCAAGGAAAAAGGGAAAGAACCUAUAUUUACAAAAAUAUUUAGAGCUUCUCUUUUUGUGGUGGCAAAGAAUUGGAAAUUAUGGGGAUUCCUAUCAGAUGGGGAAUGGCUGAACAAAUUGUGGUUUAUGAUGGUGAUGGAAUACUAUUGUGCUAUAAGGAAUGAGGGGGAUGGUUUCAGAAAAACCUGGGAAGGGCUAUAUGAAUUGAUGCAGAGUGAAAUGAGCAGAACAAGGAGAUUAUUGUGCACAGUAAUAGCAUUAUUGUAACAAUAUUCAACUAUGACUAUAGUAAUCUAGAGUUUGAAAAAUACAUAGAUCUAAAUUUCUGGGGCAAGAACUCAUUACUCUGAUCAAUACAAUGAUCUAAAGAGAUUUCAGCAGACCCAGUGUAAACUUUAAAUUACUCCACCCUACUUGAACCUUACUUUAGGGGAAGAUAAAGUUGUAAUCUCCUGAUUAAAUAAUGAAGUUUUCACCUUAUAGUGAAGCUAGAACUUUAAGCUAAGUCUAUUUUUAGUAUCGUAAUUCAAAAAGGUGUUAAGUAACUAUAAAGGUUAAAUUUACCACAAAAAGGUCAAGUAACUAACAAAAGGUGAACUUAACAAAGAAGUGUGAAGUAACUCUAAAGAUAAUCUAAUCAAAAGAAGAUGAGAACUAGGAAUGGAUAUUUAGAGGAGGAGACACAAGGCUGAAAAGUCUAUAUAUUUGGCUCCCUUGCUGUCUCUGAGAGGAUCUUAAUUGGAGGGACUCUCUUUCUCUUAUGGGCGGUGGAGAGUUAGCUGAGAGGAGUGUGCUGAGCCUUUCAGUAUCUUAGCAUGGCUACAAGCUAUUGUCUGGUUCGGUGGUAAGUUUCUGGCUGAGUUUUCCUCCUUUACUUUCCAACUUUAUCCUCUUAGAAGCCUCUAAUCUUCUUCGGAGACCUAGAGGCAGGGAUUUUUAAAUUCCCCCUGACACAGGCCAGGCGGGAGAAAUCCUAUAUCCCCUUCCUUCCCUCUCAAUUCCUUCCCUCUAUAUUAAUUAAAUUACCAAAAAAUACCAGACUGACUUGGAUAUUUUAUUUGGGAUUUCCCCUGGAGACCAAUUAAAUCUAGAUUUUACGUCAUAACUCUUAAAUUACACCAGGAUGAAAAAUGCUAUCUAUCGCGCGUCGGCUAUGGGAGAGAUGGUGGGAGGUGGGGGAGGAAAAGAAAAUGAUCUUUGUUUCCAAUGAAUAAUGUUUGAAAAUGACCAAAUAAAAUAAUGUUCAAAAAAAAUGUAAAAUGAGGAGGAAUGAACUCUAUGCCCCUGAAGGUCACCCUCCAGUUAAAAAUCUCUGAUCCUAAAAAAAAAGAAAGAAAAGGAAAAUACUAUCUACCUACAGAGAGAACUGAUAAACUCUUGAUUACAAAUUGAAAUAUAAAUUUUUUACUUUAUUAUCUUUUGGGGGGCAACAUGACUAAUAUGGAAAUAUCUUUAUGACUAAUAUAUUGUUUAUCUUCUCAAUUGGUGGAAGAUAGGUGGAGGAGAAUUUUUUAGAAUAAUAUUUUAAAUAAAUUUUUUUUAAAAGAAUUAUUCUAAUUUAAUUUUAUAGAUGCCAAAAGUGUUUGUGCUUUCUUUCAGUUCUUGAGAUUAAUUGAUAUGUUCCAUUUACUGGGGGAAGUGAAAGCAAAAUAUUUGGGAAAGAAAGGGAAGGAAAGAAGGAAGAUUAUUUUUUAAAGGGUUAUUGAAGCAUUUUUUUUUAAAAGAAUGUACUUAAGAGGGGCCAGUAAGUGGCUCAGUGAAUGGAGUACCAGACCGUGAAGAGGACAAAUCUGGCCUGAGACACUUUCUACCUAUGUAACCCUGGGCAAGUCACUUGAUCCAACUGCCUGAUCCAUACAGCUCUUUGGCCUUGGAAUAUUCAGUAUAAUCCUCAGUAGCAUUUCAAAGACAAAAGGUAAAGAUUAAAAAAAAAUAAUGUAUUGAGGGAGGGCUAAUAGGUAGCACAGUAGAAAAGGUGCCAGGCCUAGAGGUGGGAGAACAUGGGUUCAAAUCUGCCCUUGGACACUUCCUACCUACUUGUGUGACCCUGGGCAAGUGACUUAACCCCAAUGCCUAGCCCUUGCCUUUCUGUCUUAAAGAGUUGUUACUAAGACAGAAAGUAAGGGUUUUAAAAGAAUGUACUGAAGCAUUUUGUGUGAAGACAGUGGAUAUAGAGGACAGAGGACAUAAAGGAGCCUACAUCCCCAGCAAACAUCCCUGUGGAGCUCAGAACUGAACUAGCCUACAAAGAAAUAAGAAUAAUCACCUGAAGAUUCCUCUGUUUACGUCAGGGAUACAAAGAACACCUCUAGGAUCCAGUGGACAUCCUAAAAAAAGAUAAGCUGGGAUAGCAGAAAAGUGUGGCACAGGCAAGGAUGGGCUGGAGAUAGCUCACACCCCUGGCAAGAGCCAACUGUUAAAUUUUCAGAGUGAACAUUUAUAGCUCACAAGUCAGCAAAUGCUAUAAAUUGAGAUUUAUGGCCUUGUUGAUUGUAUAAACUUAAGAAUGUGAUGGGGGAAAGUGUUAAUAAUGCAGGUUAAACUUAAAAGUAUGUCGGGUACAUUUGGAGGGCAGGGGGGAACUGGUUAUUAAACAUAUACUGGCAGACCACUGAGCUCAGGGCAACCCCAAUGAGUUCUAGGUGGGUUCUGCUCAUCUCCACUAGCCUAGUGCCAGGAGAUAUCUUGGACAAAGACCGUCCUAUGGCAUCCCCAAAUAACUUGGCUUUAAGUAAGCCUAAGGGAACAGGUCCACCAUUGUAUAAGCAGCCCAAAUUUUAAUGGCAAGAAAAAAGUCAUAGAAAAAGGCUAGCCUAGAGCAUCUCAAAGGCCCCUGCAGAAGCUCAGCCCACCCUGUCAGAGAACAAGAGCUAAGCACCAAAGUGUGCCCCGAGUCCCUUGAAGGAGAUUACUCGGGAUGAGGGAAGCCUUGCCUAUGCCAUUCAAGCAUCACUUUCCCUGCCCCAAAACUGAGGCUGACGUGUUGAACAAAUCAAAAAGACAAUUCUUGAUUCGAGAUACCUGUAGGUAAAUCCUGAGGAAUACAGUGACUCCACAAAUCUAGAUAAAAUCUAAGAAAAAACUCCUUGACCACAGAAGUAUGAGAGUACCUGGAAGAAAUAAAAGAAGACAUAGAAAAUAAUUUAGCCA